UACGUAGGGUGCAAGCGUUGUCCGGAAUUAUUGGGCGUAAAGAGCUCGUAGGCGGCCUGUCGCGUCGGCUGUGAAAACCCGAGGCUCAACCUCGGGCCUGCAGUCGAUACGGGGCAGGCUAGAGUUCGGUAGGGGAGACUGGAAUUCCUGGUGUAGCGGUGAAAUGCGCAGAUAUCAGGAGGAACACCGGUGGCGAAGGCGGGUCUCUGGGCCGAAACUGACGCUGAGGAGCGAAAGCGUGGGGAGCGAACAGG
rnacentral:rRNA from 1 species